rnacentral:rRNA from 1 species
CGGCAACAGCUCAAAUUUGAAAUCUGCCCGCAAGGGCCGAGUUGUAAUUUGUAGAGGAUGCUUCGGCUUCGGCCCCGGUCUAAGUUCCUUGGAACAGGACGUCACAGAGGGUGAGAAUCCCGUUUGUGGCCGGCGGCCCCCGCCAUGUGAAGCUCCUUCGAC